rnacentral:tRNA from 1 species
UUAAUUGAAGCCAAAGUUUGCGGCAUGUUAUUGUUAAUAAUAUAAUUGAUAAUUUUUAUCCAGUUAAU